ensembl:misc_RNA Y_RNA Y RNA
GACUGGUCUGAAGGUAGUUGUCUUAAUUGUUCAUGGUUAUAAAUCAAACUCCUUGUUAUUCUCUUUUCCUACUUUUCACAAUUGCACUUCACUAGUCUUUC